AGCUCCAAUAGCGUAUAUUUAAGUUGUUGCAGUUAAAAAGCUCGUAGUUGGAUUUUGGGUUGGGGCGACCGGUCCGCCGUUCCGGUGUGCACUGGUUGCCACUUCCUUUCUGCCGGGGACGCGCUCCUGGGCUUCAUUGUCUGGGACGCGGAGUCGGCGUUGUUACUUUGAAAAAUUAGAGUGUUCAAAGCAAGCCAUCGCUCUGAAUACAUUAGCAUGGAAUAACAGUAUAGGACUCUGGUCUUAUUCUGUUGGUUUUCGAGACCGGAGUAAUGAUUAAGAGGGACAGUCGGGGGCAUCCGUAUUUCAUUGUCAGAGGUGAAAUUCUUGGAUUUAUGAAAGACGAACUUCUGCGAAAGCAUUUGCCAAGGAUGUUUUCAUUGAUCAAGAACGAAAGU
rnacentral:rRNA from 1 species